AAUACUUCACAAAGACUCGACCUAUCUCGCCGCUGUUGAAACCAUUACCGCCACUACAACUGAUUUUUAUCUCAUCGCUGGCCACCAAUUCCAGGAUUAAGUCCCAAUUGUAUUUGACAUUUUAGAGCAAAUGUGAUUGCCGGUGGUAGCACUAUUAAUCUGAGUCUGCGGGAUACUGCUGGAAGGAAGAUUACAAUAAAAUGAGACCCUUGAGGCUUGAGCUAUCAUGGGCAGAUGUAUCUGGAAUUUCAGACAGAAAAAUUUCUCGCUAGCAAGCCCAAUUAUAAAAAUGUCUCCAAAAAAGGUAGACUUCCUUCUUAAUUUCAAGUUUCUUUAUAGUACUUUUAUUUGUUUUUUUAUAAUACAGCGGAGAAAUGUGUACGCUAGUUGUAAUACCAGUCCUUGUUACUUGAAGUAAGUUCAUGAAAACCUUGGCUUGUUUUAGUUUUCACUUUAGUUAUUUGGUGAAGACGACUGGUGAAUAUACUAAAAAUACUAGUACUCUACUCCGACAUUUUAGGAUUUCGUAUGUUUACUAGAAAUGAACAGGUAAAGGUUGUCUGUUAAAGAGAAAAAUGAAACGAUUCUAUGGUUCGUGAUAUUUUAUAAUUUCUCUCAAGGAAUACCUUAUUUUUUGCUCUUGUUAUUAUUUUUUAGCGGAUUCCUAAAUUGAGACAUUAUGUUCCUGGAGUACCAAUUAUACUUGUUCGAACAAAGCUAGAGAUAUAGCACGUGGAAGUUCAUAUAAUCAAGAUUUGGGAGAAUCUGUCCGAUGUAACUUAUUAUCGAGCUUAUAGCUACUUAAUAAAAUAAUUAAUUAGACGUGAAAUAUUAUUGGAUUCAAAUAAUUUAGCAUUUU